rnacentral:rRNA from 1 species
AACGAACGCUGGCGGCAUGCCUAACACAUGCCAGUCGAACGAGACCUUCGGGUCUAGUGGCGCACGGGUGCGUAACGCGUGGGAACCUGCCCUUAGGUUCGGAAUAACUCCCCGAAAGGGGUGCUAAUACCGGAUAAUGUCUUCGGACCAAAGAUUUAUCGCCUUUGGAUGGGCCCGCGUUGGAUUAGCUAGUUGGUAGGGUAAAAGCCUACCAAGGCGGCGAUCCAUAGCUGGUCUGAGAGGAUGAGCCGCCACACCGGGACUGGGACACGGCCCGGACUCCUACGCGAGGCAGCAGUGGGGAAUAUUGGAAAAUGGGCGAAAGCCUGAUCCAGCUAUGCCGCGUGAGUGAUGAAGGCCUUAAGGUUGUAAAGCUCUUUUACCCGGGAUGAUAAUGACAGUACCGGGAGAAUAAGCACCGGCUAACUCCGUG